UCCUACGGGACGCAGCAGUGGGGAAUAUUGGGCAAUGGGCGCAAGCCUGACCCAGCAACGCCGCGUGAAGGAAGAAGGCUUUCGGGUUGUAAACUUCUUUUAUGAGGGACGAAUAAAGUGACGGUACCUCAUGCAUAAGCCACGGCUAACUACGUGCCAGCAGCCGCGGUAAUACGUAGGUGGCAAGCGUUAUACGGAUUUACUGGGUGUAAAGGGCGUGUAGGCGGGAAUGCAAGUCAGAUGUGAAAACU
rnacentral:rRNA from 1 species